UUAUAACCAAUUACUUGCGUAAGUCUCGCAAGUAAUAUUAUUUGCGUCGUUAAUACUCUUCACCAUCAAAGGACUAUAUAUAGAGUACAAAGUGGCGAUGAAGCAACAUAACCAUUCUUCUAUUUUUAUAUAUACAUAUUUUAUCGGAGCUGACUUUUCUUUUGGUUUAUAUGCAGAUACCCUAUUCUAACGAUUUCACCACGAUGCAGCGAAGAAUAUGACACAAAAGCUGAUGUUUUCUCCUUUGCUUUGAUCGUUCAAGAGAUGAUAGAAGGACGAAUGCCAUUUGCUGAAAAGGAAGACAGUGAAGCUUCAGAAGCUUAUGCCAGCAAAGAGCGGCCACUGCUCAAAGCUCCAUCAAAUUGCUUUACCCUCAUGGACUUAAAACGUUGAUAGAAGAAUGCUGGCAAAAUAAACCAGCCAAGCGACCUACUUUCAGAGAGAUCAUUAAACGGCUCGAGUCUAUUCUUCAUCAUAUGGGUCACAAACGACAAUGGGGGGGGGGUACUACUGAGUUUGUCCUUUUGUUAUUUAGGUUUCUAGAUUAUGUUUACCUCUUAACCUGUUUCUUUUUUCACAUGUUUAAUAUCAGAUGAGGCCGUUGACUUGCUUUCAGAAUUUCGAGCACAAGAAGAAACAUAACUGGGAUAUGAGCAGCCAUGACGGCUCAUCAUCCGGUUCACAUUUGUGAUUCUUUAACCGGUUCAGAAAUGAUUUUUUUUUCUAUUCCCUCCGGUUUAGUUUGGUCUUCCCCCUAAAGAACCGAAUCUUAUUUUGUCAUUUUGUUCUUCACUGAUGAAAGUCCGUGUGGUCAAAAUCUGGCAUUUUAUCUAUUUAUAAAAUUUGUUGUAAGAUAUAUGAUUUUAACCUGAAGAUAUAUUUGCUGUUGUAAUCUAAAAUUUCUGCAAAAUGUAUGAUUCCACCU